rnacentral:rRNA from 1 species
AACNCUNGGCGGNAUGCCUAACACAUGCAAGUCGAACGGAAUCUUCGGAUUUAGUGGCGGACGGGUGAGUAACACGUGAGAAUCUGGCUUCAGGAUGGGGAUAACAACUGGAAACGGUUGCUAAAACCCAAUGUGCCGAGAGGUGAAAUAUUUUAUAGCCUGAAGAUGAGCUCGCGUCUGAUUAGCUAGAUGGUGGGGUAAAAGCCUACCAUGGCGACGAUCAGUAGCUGUUCUGAGAGGAAGAUCAGCCACACUGGGACUGAGACACGGCCCAGACUCCUACGGGAGGCAGCAGUGGGGAAUUUUCCGCAAUGGGCGAAAGCCUGACGGAGCAAUACCGCGUGCGGGAGGAAGGCCCUUGGGUCGUAAACCGCUUUUCUUAGGGAAGAAACCUGACGGUACCUAAGGAAUAAGCCUCGGCUAACUCCGUGCCAGCAGCCGCGGU